CGGCUUAACCUGGUUGAUCCUGCCAGUAGUCAUAUGCUUGUCUCAGAGAUUAAGCCAUGCAUGUCUAAGUACAGACCUUCAUACGGUGAAACCGCGAAUGGCUCAUUAAAUCAGCUAUGGUUCCUUUGGUCAUACAUACUACAUGGAUAACUGUAGUAAUUCUAGAGCUAAUACAUGCCACUAUGCCCUGACCCUUCCGGGAACGGGUGGAUUUAUUAGAACAGAACCAAUACAGCUCCGGCUGUUUAUUCUGUGAUGACUCUGGAUAACUUACCUGAUCGCAGUCGGCCUUGCGUCGGCGACGGAUCUUUCAAAUGGCUGCCCUAUCAAUUGUCGAUGGUAGGUGACCUGCCUACCAUAUUAACGGGUAACGGGGAAUCAGGGUUCGAUUCCGGAGAGGGAGCCUGAGAAACGGCUACCACAUCCAAGGAAGGCAGCAGGCGCGCAAAUUACCCAAUCCCGGUACGGGGAGGUAGUGACGAAAAAUACGGAGACGGGACUCUCUAUGGGCCUCCGACAUCCGAGUGAGUACAUUUUAAUCCUUUAACGAGGAUCAACUGGAAGGGCAGUCUGGUGCCACCAGCCGCGGUA
rnacentral:rRNA from 1 species